UGGUGGAGUGAUUUGUCUGGUUAAUUCCGUUAACGAACGAGACCUCAACCUGCUAAAUAGUUUCAUGUGGUUUCUGUUGCAGGGUUGCUUCUUAGAGGAACUUUUGGUGGUUAGCCCAAGGAAGUUUGAGGCAAUAACA
rnacentral:rRNA from 1 species